GCGAGAGUGGCGGAACGGUAUACGCGGCGGCCUUAGAAGCCGUUGGCCUUAGGCCUUAGGGGUUCAAAUCCCCUCUCUCGCACCA
rnacentral:tRNA from 1 species